UCCGGUGGCGAUGCGCUUAGGGGAAACACCCGUACCCAUUCCGAACACGAUGGUUAAGACUUAAGCGGCCGAUGGUACUAUGCUGGAGACGGCAUGGGAGAGCAGGUGGCUGCCGGAU
rnacentral:rRNA from 2 species